CUCGUAGGCGGUUUGUCGCGUCGUCUGUGAAAUUCUGCAACUCAAUUGCAGGCGUGCAGGCGAUACGGGCAGACUUGAGUACUACAGGGGAGACUGGAAUUCCUGGUGUAGCGGUGAAAUGCGCAGAUAUCAGGAGGAACACCGGUGGCGAAGGCGGGUCUCUGGGUAGUAACUGACGUUGAGGAGCGAAAGCGUGGGAGCGAACA
rnacentral:rRNA from 1 species